GUGGGGAAUAUUGGGCAAUGGGGGAAACCCUGACCCAGCAACGCCGCGUGAAGGAAGAAGGUUUUCGGAUCGUAAACUUCUAUCCUUGGUGAAGAUAAUGACGGUAGCCAAGAAGGAAGCCCCGGCUAACUACGUGCCAGCAGCCGCGGUAAUACGUAGGGGGCAAGCGUUGUCCGGAAUGAUUGGGCGUAAAGGGCGCGUAGGCGGCCUGGUAAGUCUGGAGUGAAAGUCCUGCUUUUAAGGUGGGAAUUGCUUUGGAUACUGUCGGGCUUGAGUGCAGGAGAGGUAAGUGGAAUUCCCGGUGUAGCGGUGAAAUGCGGAGAGAUCGGGAGGAACACCAGUGGCGAAGGCGACUUACUGGACUGUAACUGACGCUGAGGCGCGAAAGUGUGGGGAGCAAACAGGAUUAGAAACCCCUGUAGUCC
rnacentral:rRNA from 1 species